rnacentral:snRNA from 1 species
GUCACUUUGGUGGCACAUAUUUUAAAACUGGAACAAUACAGAGAAGAUUAUCAUGGCCUCUGUGCCAGGAUGACACGUAAAUUUGUGAAGUGUUCCUUUUUUUU